CAGCUCGUUACAAAAAGAGCUAGGACCCCAGACCACAUCGAAGCUUCAUGAGACCUCUCCUUGUCUGUGCACAGACGGGUGGCCAACUCUGGAGCCCAGGCUGUUGCUUCCCGGUCUGGCAGUGAAUCCUCCAUAGCCUGGAAACAAAGGCUGCUUUUAAGUAACUGGAUGUGCUUUGCGUUCUCCAGGCUUUAGCGCUUUGGGGAACUGCCCCGUGGCUGAUGGCAAGGAGGGAAUUUGGCCAGUUAAGUGUCCUCUGUCCCUGGUCAGUCCCGACGGUCAAGCAACACAGGAUGUGCGGGUCUCACUCUCGUGUGCCCCUCAGAGGAAGUGCACUCUCGCUGCUGUUCAGAGACAAGCCUGGUAUUAUUUAACAGUUAUAGUUAGUUAACAGUUAACAGUUCUGGGUUUAACGUGCCUAUCACCUGGUGAUGAUGAAACCAGCUCUGUGGGAGAAUCUAGUGACCUGCCAGUUCUUCCAGCGUCCCCUCCCAGGGGCGUCGCUGAGGAAGCGCUGAGGCUGACGCUGUGUCUCCAGGCCCGUCCUCGUCCCUGCCAACGUUGGGGGCUCUGACUGUAACUCAUGACUCGGGUGCCCAUCAUCAACAGGUGGUUUCUGCUUUUCCCUCGAGCUUACCUUGAGGACCUGCACUUCAAGCUACAGAUCGGAAGUGGAAUCUUUCAACAGGAAAUACGCAAGGACCCUCCAAGGACUCUGUCCUCAGCCACUGAGAUGUGGGGAGUGGGCUCGGGACACAGGCUGCCCAGGUCUUCUGCCCCCAUCACCACGAAGGGACGCAGUGGACCAAGCCACGCCUUCCUGGAUUCUUAGCCCAGACAUAGUUCUGAACGACAGAACUAAGAACAGCCUCAUCAGACUAAGCCACUAAGCAGACCAAACGCAGAGACCUCACGCUGACUUCAAUGUUCUAUUUGGGCUUGGGGGGCGGGAGGAUCCUCUGUGGGUGUUUUGUUUGUUUUGGUUCUUUUGUUUUUUGUUUUGGAGACAGGGUCUUACUCUGUCCCCAGGGCUGGAGUGCAGUGGUGCCAUCUUGGCUCCCUGUAUCUUCUGCCUCCUGGGCUCAAGUGAUCCUCCCACUGCAGCUCCACCACGCCUGGCUAAUUUUUCCUUUUUUUUUUUUUGGUAGAGCUGGGGUUUCGCCAUGUUGCCCAGGCUGCUCUCGAACUCCUGGACUCGAGGAAUCUUCCCGCCUCUGCCUCCCAAAGUGCUGGGAUUAUGGAUGUGAGCCACCCUGCCCAGCCUCGAUGUUCUAUUUGUUAUGAGCUUGCAGUCAGCCUCUUCUUAAUCUUAAAUCCAUGGUUUAAAAGUUCUACUUGUAGAAACUGGAUAAAAUAAAAUAUUUCAAAAAUGGU
rnacentral:lncRNA from 10 species